AUGGCGCGUUCUUGGUCCUGCGCCCUCCGCCUCCUCUUCUUGGCGUCCCUGCUCCUCCUCUGCUCCGCCCUGCCGCCGCCGCCGCCUCCGGGACGCGGGAGCGCGACGGAGCUGACGGACGCCGACGAGGCGGUCCUCGCCAGGAUGUGCAACCCGCGCGCCGGCCCGCGCCCGGCGUGGUGCGAGGAGCUGCACCUGAUCAAGCGGCGCGCCCUCAGGGGAGGCGCGCGGCACCGCCACCACCGCCACCACCACCGCCAGGGCGCGCCCGCGGUGCCGCUGCCCCCGCCGGGCCGCGACGAGGUCGACAUGCGCUACGGCGUCUCCAAGCGGCGCGUCCCCACGGGCCCCAACCCGCUGCACAACUGA
rnacentral:rRNA from 1 species